AUGUUCUAACGUUGACCCGUAAUCCGGGUUGCGGACAGUGUCUGGUGGGUAGUUUGACUGGGGCGGUCUCCUCCUAAAGAGUAACGGAGGAGCACGAAGGUUGGCUAAUCCUGGUCGGACAUCAGGAGGUUAGUGCAAUGGCAUAAGCCAGCUUGACUGCGAGCGUGACGGCGCGAGCAGGUGCGAAAGCAGGUCAUAGUGAUCCGGUGGUUCUGAAUGGAAGGGCCAUCGCUCAACGGAUAAAAGGUACUCCGGGGAUAACAGGCUGAUACCGCCCAAGAGUUCAUAUCGACGGCGGUGUUUGGCACCUCGAUGUCGGCUCAUCACAUCCUGGGGCUGAAGUAGGUCCCAAGGGUAUGGCUGUUCGCCAUUUAAAGUGGUACGCGAGCUGGGUUUAGAACGUCGUGAGACAGUUCGGUCCCUAUCUGCCGUGGGCGCUGGAGAACUGAGGGGGGCUGCUCCUAGUACGAGAGGACCGGAGUGGACGCAUCACUGGUGUUCGGGUUGUCAUGCCAAUGGCACUGCCCGGUAGCUAAAUGCGGAAGAGAUAAGUGCUGAAAGCAUCUAAGCACGAAACUUGCCCCGAGAUGAGUUCUCCCUGACUCCUUGAGAGUCCUGAAGGAACGUUGAAGACGACGACGUUGAUAGGCCGGGUGUGUAAGCGCAGCGAUGCGUUGAGCUAACCGGUACUAAUGAACCGUGAGGCUUAACCUU
rnacentral:rRNA from 1 species